rnacentral:rRNA from 1 species
AUUGAACGCUGGCGGCAUGCUUUACACAUGCGAGUCGAACGGUAACAGGCCGCAAGGUGCUGACGAGUGGCGAACGGGUGAGUAAUGCAUCGGAACGUGCCCAGUCGUGGGGGAUAACUACUCGAAAGAGUAGCUAAUACCGCAUACGAUCUAUGGAUGAAAGCGGGGGACCGUAAGGCCUCGCGCGAUUGGAGCGGCCGAUGUCAGAUUAGGUAGUUGGUGGGGUAAAGGCUCACCAAGCCAACGAUCUGUAGCUGGUCUGAGAGGACAACCAGCCACACUGGGACUGAGACACGGCCCAGACUCCUACGGGAGGCAGCAGUGGGGAAUUUUGGACAAUGGGCGCAAGCCUGAUCCAGCAAUGCCGCGUGCAGGAAGAAGGCCUUCGGGUUGUAAACUGCUUUUGUACGGAACGAAACGGCUCUGGUUAAUACCCGGGGCUAAUGACGGUACCGUAAGAAUAAGCACCGGCUAACUACGUG